GGAGGGGUCGCAUAGUCCGGUCUAGUGCAGAAGUCUUGAAAACUUCCAUGGGUGCAAGCUCAUCGUGGGUUCGAAUCCCACCCCCUCCG
rnacentral:tRNA from 1 species